GAUGAACGCUGGCGGCAUGCUUUACACAUGCAAGUCGGACGGGAAGUGCUGUUUCCAGUGGCGGCCGGGGGGUUAACGCUUAAGAACUGGCUCUAGGGACGGGAACAACAGCUGGAAACGGCUCCUAAUACCCCGUAGGCUGAGGAGCGAAAGAAGGAAUCCGCUCAAGGGGGGGCUCGCGUCUUUUUAGCUAUUUGGUGAGGUAAUAGCUUACAAAGGCCGUGAUCAGUAGCUGGUGCGAGAGGAGGUUCAGCCACACUGGGGCUGAGACAAGCCCCAGACUCCUACGCGGGGCGGAGGAGGGGGGUUUUCUGCAAAGGGCGCAAGAGUGACGGCGCGCAACGCCGUGGAAGUAAAGGACCUCCUAGUCAUGAACUUCUCUUCCUGGCGAAGAGACAAUGACAGUACCUGGAGAAUAAGCACCGGCUAACUCUGUG
rnacentral:rRNA from 1 species